GACGAACGCUGGCGGCGUGCUUAACACAUGCAAGUCGAACGGAAAGGCCCUGCUUUUGUGGGGUGCUCGAGUGGCGAACGGGUGAGUAACACGUGAGUAACCUGCCCUUGACUUUGGGAUAACUUCAGGAAACUGGGGCUAAUACCGGAUAGGAGCUCCUGCUGCAUGGUGGGGGUUGGAAAGUUUCGGCGGUUGGGGAUGGACUCGCGGCUUAUCAGCUUGUUGGUGGGGUAGUGGCUUACCAAGGCUUUGACGGGUAGCCGGCCUGAGAGGGUGACCGGCCACAUUGGGACUGAGAUACAGCCCAGACUCCUACGGGAGGCAGCAGUGGGGAAUAUUGCACAAUGGGCGGAAGCCUGAUGCAGCAACGCCGCGUGCGGGAUGACGGCCUUCGGGUUGUAAACCGCUUUCGCCUGUGACGAAGCGUGAGUGACGGUAAUGGGUAAAGAAGCACCGGCUAACUACGUGCCAGCAGCCGCGGUGAUACGUAGGGUGCGAGCGUUGUCCGGAUUUAUUGGGCGUAAAGGGCUCGUAGGUGGUUGAUCGCGUCGGAAGUGUAAUCUUGGGGCUUAACCCUGAGCGUGCUUUCGAUACGGGUUGACUUGAGGAAGGUAGGGGAGAAUGGAAUUCCUGGUGGAGCGGUGGAAUGCGCAGAUAUCAGGAGGAACACCAGUGGCGAAGGCGGUUCUCUGGGCCUUUCCUGACGCUGAGGAGCGAAAGCGUGGGGAGCGAACAGGCUUAGAUACCCUGGUAGUCCACGCUGUAAACGGUGGGUACUAGGUGUGGGGUCCAUUCCACGGGUUCCGUGCCGUAGCUAACGCUUUAAGUACCCCGCCUGGGGAGUACGGCCGCAAGGCUAAAACUCAAAGGAAUUGACGGGGCCCCGCACAAGCGGCGGAGCAUGCGGAUUAAUUCGAUGCAACGCGUAGAACCUUACCUGGGUUUGACAUGGAUCGGGAGUGCUCAGAGAUGGGUGUGCCUCUUUUGGGGUCGGUUCACAGGUGGUGCAUGGCUGUCGUCAGCUCGUGUCGUGAGAUGUUGGGUUAAGUCCCGCAACGAGCGCAACCCUUGUUCACUGUUGCCAGCACGUUAUGGUGGGGACUCAGUGGAGACCGCCGGGGUCAACUCGGAGGAAGGUGGGGAUGACGUCAAGUCAUCAUGCCCCUUAUGUCCAGGGCUUCACGCAUGCUACAAUGGCUGGUACAGAGAGUGGCGAGCCUGUGAGGGUGAGCGAAUCUCGGAAAGCCGGUCUCAGUUCGGAUUGGGGUCUGCAACUCGACCUCAUGAAGUCGGAGUCGCUAGUAAUCGCAGAUCAGCAACGCUGCGGUGAGUACGUUCCCGGGGCU
rnacentral:rRNA from 1 species